GCAUGCCUUACACAUGCAAGUCGAACGGCAGCGCGGGAGCAAUCCUGGCGGCGAGUGGCGAACGGGUGAGUAAUACAUCGGAACGUGCCCAAUCGUGGGGGAUAACGCAGCGAAAGCUGUGCUAAUACCGCAUACGAUCUACGGAUGAAAGCAGGGGAUCGCAAGACCUUGCGCGAAUGGAGCGGCCGAUGGCAGAUUAGGUAGUUGGUGAGGUAAAGGCUCACCAAGCCUUCGAUCUGUAGCUGGUCUGAGAGGACGACCAGCCACACUGGGACUGAGACACGGCCCAGACUCCUACGGGAGGCAGCAGUGGGGAAUUUUGGACAAUGGGCGAAAGCCUGAUCCAGCCAUGCCGCGUGCAGGAUGAAGGCCUUCGGGUUGUAAACUGCUUUUGUACGGAACGAAACGGUCUUUUCUAAUACAGAAGGCUAAUGACGGUACCGUAAGAAUAAGCACCGGCUAACUACG
rnacentral:rRNA from 1 species